rnacentral:lncRNA from 1 species
UAAAUUAUUUGUAUUACUUAUUGAAUUGUUGUAUCUAUUUUCUUGUUAUUAUUUACAAGCUUGCUAACAAUCAGGAUACUAAGGGUCCUUCAUGUCAGGAUAAAGUGGAUGCACCUACUGAGUUCAUUAAACCUAAGCGUUCGAGUCGCGCGAGCAAGAGUGCGGGUGGGUGUCAGAGAGUGCCGCCCGCGUCAGUCCCCUGACGCCGAUGACUCACUGCGAUGUAUGCGGCCAGCCCGGUGACACCAGCAACCUCGUCAGAUGCGACGAGUGCACGAAGCGCUACCACUCACUUGCCUGAGCCGCGUUGAAUAAGAAUCCGAAAAAAGCGCGGCUACUCGUGGCACUGUGCGACUGCGAUCCCACUGUGAGUACCCAGUCU